rnacentral:rRNA from 1 species
GAUGAACGCUGGCGGCGUGCCUAAUACAUGCAAGUCGAGCGAACGGACGAGAAGCUUGCUUCUCUGAUGUUAGCGGCGGACGGGUGAGUAACACGUGGAUAACCUACCUAUAAGACUGGGAUAACUUCGGGAAACCGAAGCUAAUACCGGAUAAUAUUUUGAACCGCAUGGUUCAAAAGUGAAAGACGGUCUUGCUGUCACUUAUAGAUGGAUCCGCGCUGCAUUAGCUAGUUGGUAAGGUAACGGCUUACCAAGGCAACGAUGCAUAGCCGACCUGAGAGGGUGAUCGGCCACCCUGGAACUGAGACACGGUCCAGACUCCUACGGGAGGCAGCAGUAGGGAAUCUUCCGCAAUGGGCGAAAGCCUGACGGAGCAACGCCGCGUGAGUGAUGAAGGUCUUCGGAUCGUAAAACUCUGUUAUUAGGGAAGAACAUAUGUGUAAGUAACUGUGCACAUCUUGACGGUACCUAAUCAGAAAGCCACGGCUAACUACGUG